CCUCCCCACUACCCUCCCCCCUCUCUCUCUCUGAGAUUUUUAACAUGGCGGGGCUCGGGCCCCCAUGGGCGGGGUAGGAGCCUCGGCCUCGCCUGGCCUCCCACUGCCGACCGGGCCACCGCCCGCCCCGGCCAAAGCCGCUCAGGCGAGCACCGUAGGCGCAAGCAAAGACCGCGGAGGGGGCCUACGGGCUGCGACAAGAAGACCCAGGCCGCGCCGUGAGGGGGGACCGAGAGGCGAACAACAGCACAAACGUUGCCCGCCUCUCCCCUCACGACGACGGCGGCGGCGGCGGACACCGCGCUCGUAGACGCCGGACAACGACACGAGAGCGCUCUCGGCCGCCCCGUGUAACGCUAAAGGCCGCCGCGGUGUUUCCCCGCCGCCGCCACCCCCAGCGUGAGGCAGACGCCCAGCAAUGGCGGCUUCCCUCACGCAUUCGUCGGUGCGAAUAAAAUUCUGUUUAAAAUUUCA